rnacentral:rRNA from 1 species
AUUGAACGCUGGCGGCAGGCCUAACACAUGCAAGUCGAACGAGUGGCGGACGGGUGAGUAAUGUCGGGGAAACUGCCCGAUGGAGGGGGAUAACUACUGGAAACGGUAGCUAAUACCGCAUACCAUCGGAUGUGCCCAGAUGGGAGUAGCUAGUAGGUGGGGUAACGGCUCACCUAGGCGACGAACCCUAGCUGGUCUGAGAGGAUGACCAGCCACCUUGGAACUUGGACACGGUCCAGACGCCUACGGGAGGCAGCAGUGGGGAAUAUUGCACAAUGGGCGCAAUCCUGAUGCAGCCAUGCCGCGGGUAUGACGACGGCCUUCGGGUUGUAAAGUACUUUCAGCGAGGAGGCGUUACUCGCAGAAGAAGCACCGGCUAACUCCGUGCCAGCAGCCGCGGUAAUAC